CGGCUUGCGGCGGGACGGUGAAGCGCCUAUAUUAGCCGGGUCGGACUUCGGUCCGUCUAUGGCGAUAAAUGGCGUCGUGAAAUAGACGCAGCGGACCCGGGGGCAGUACCCGGCGACUCCACCAUAAACCUUUGUUGUCGAAGGGAUGCGGGGUCGAACCAGGAUCGACGUGUGUUCAAAGACGAGAGCUUUUGCCCGGCAUGAAUAAGCCGUUAAAUGUUUCAAAAACCCUAAAUGCCAACGACAACGAGGCAUUCGCAAUCGCAGCGUAACAUGAAGUCCUCACGGACUUAGUUACACUGGCCGAAAGCGCGGUACGGGCUGCACCGGGCAACAGAAGCAGAAACC
rnacentral:tmRNA from 1 species